rnacentral:tRNA from 1 species
GGAGAGGUGCGAGAGUGGCCGAAUCGGGGCGCCUCGAAAGCGUCUAGGGGCUUUGCGGUCCCUCGCGGGUUCAAAUCCCGCCCUCUCCGCCA